rnacentral:lncRNA from 1 species
AGAUGCUCUGGGUAUUUGGGGAAGGUGGGAUAGGAAGAAGAAAGACAAAAGAUACUCUUGCCCUUUUUGGUGAAAAAAAAAAAAAAGGCAGCAGGGUGCACACAAUUCUGCCCACACCAGUAUCCUUGGCUGGCGUAGAGCUACGGCUUUGCAGGGGGCCUCACACCUGAUCCUCCCCAGCAGGUAGGUAGCUGCAAGGAGGAGCCAAGGGCUGCAGCGAGGGCAUGUAGCCCACCACAUCUCUGGGAAGUGGGCAAGCACAGUCGCUCCAGACAUUUCGGAGAAACCUAACUGGACCACGUGGGACCCAGGAAGUUCCAGUCACAUGCUGUAUGCUGGUGGUGACGCUGGCAGGCCCUGGGGUCUCAGAUACAGCUGGGUUUUUCUAUUUAGCCCAGGCCAGCCUCAAAUUUACAGCCUACCGACUGCUGGGAUUACGGGUGCGGGUGCGUGCUGCCUGGUCUGGGGUUCGCGUGGCUGGCAGAGCUUAGUGCUGUGUGGCCCCUUCCCCAGAGCGCCCCAGGCUCACUCUCUAUGCGAAGCUUCUUUUGUUCCAUGAUGUGCACCUCCUUCUUCAGUUGGUCCACGGACACCAGCUGCUCCUCGCGCUCAUGCGUGACCUGGACCAGUUCCUGCUGCAGGCGCAACCAGGUCAUCUGCGCCUCAGCCACUCCCGUGUUGUACUCUUCUGUCAGCUUCGACAGCCUUUUGAUCUCCAGUUCCAGGGGUCCAGCUUCUUCCCCCUGGAGGGGAGUUAAUAAAAGUGAAGCAUGAGCCUUGGGCUCCACGGGCGUGCAUUAUUAUUAUUACUUAUGUGUGGUAUGUAUAUAUAUAUAUAUAUAUAUAUAUAUAUAUAUAUAUAUGUGUGUGUGUAUAUGUGUGUGUGUGUGUGUGUAUAUAUAUAUGUGUGUGUGUGUGUGUAUAUAUAUAUAUGUGUGUGUGUGUGUCUGUGUCUGUGUGCGCGCCUGUGUAGCCAUGGAGGUAAGGUUUCCACACUGAGUGUUAGUUUGUUCAGACAGCGUCUCCUGCUGAACCUGUUACUCACUGGCUGAUUAGACUGACUGGCCAACAGGCCACAGCAAUACUACAGCCUCUUUCCCAGCUCUGGGGUGCAGAGGUCCCCUGCCUGGCUUUUACUGUGGGUGCUGGGUGGACCCACAUCUUUAUGACGACAAAGCAACUGCCUUGCCGAUUGAGCUAGCUCCCGGAAGGCCUUCUUUUGGAGGGGGCUACGGAGAACCAUGAAUCAAGGCAUUGACUCCAGGGGCUCAGAGAGUCCUCACACUUGGGACACUUCACUACAGUGAUGGGGGAAGGGAGCGGGGAGAGGGCGUGGCUCGGGGCUCUGGGCGGCGCCUCACCCCCAGCUCCGACACCAUCUGUUCCAGCUGCUUGUUGAAGAAGUUGAUGAGGCUCUGCUUCCUCUCAAUGAGGAUGGUGCGCCGGGCGAUCUCGCUCUCGCUGUUGGUGAUGAGAUCGUUGAACCUCUUUACCUCCUUGUCCAUCUCUGCCAGCGUCUUCUUAUGCAUGUCUAUUUUGCAGUUGGUGUUGGUGAUGUCCAGGGUGGCCUGGGCGAUAUCGCCGUCAAUUUUUGAAAGAUGUGUCACCUGAGGGCACGAAGGGACAUAGGUGUGAGCUUUCUCCGUCUUUGGCUGGGCUAGACUGCAGUGUCCUCGACAUUCGACUGGUAUAUGAAGAGAUCCCUGCAUGCCAUCAGGAGGAAGCUAACUGGCCCUGCAUCUCAAGGACCUUCAAGGACCACCACAAAGCACAAGGGGCCUGCUUACCCAAUGGAGACAGCGUGCAUAAAAUAAAGCAGUGUUGUGGCC